rnacentral:tRNA from 1 species
CGGGGUGUAGCGUAGCCCGGUAUCGCGCCACAUUUGGGAUGUGGAGGUCGUAGGUUCGA